rnacentral:rRNA from 1 species
AUGAGAAGCAAGGUGAAAAAGAAAACUUGGAUGGAUAGUAUUUAUAAGGUAAAGGAGAAGUGGGCAGAAUGUUUUAUGAGAGAUGCUUUCACUUUGGGAAUGCGAAGCACACAACUAAGUGAAAGUUUGAACAAUGACCUCAAGAAUCAUCUCAAGUCAGAUUUAGAUAUCAACCGCCUUUUUCAUCAUUUUGAAAGAGCCGUGAAAGUGAAAAGAGACACUGAGAUAAAUUCAGAGUAUGAGUCUAGGAAGAGUCUACCUAGAAUCAAAAUCCCCACACCAAUGUUGCAACAAGUCAGUAGUCUUUAUACUCCUGCUAUAUUUGAAGCUUUUCAAACCGAAUAUGGGAGGUCAAUGGCAGCAAGUGCUCACAUACUACCUGGAGACAAUGAAUACAUGGUUAAGAUUGGAAGGCUUGUUGAUGGGCAAUAUGCAACAUCUGAAGAAGAAUACAAAGUUGUUGGAGACAAUCACCAACAAACGGCUUCAUGUAGUUGUGGGCAGUUUGAGAGAGUAGGAAUUUUGUGUGCUCAUGCUUUGAAAGUUCUUGAUUUAAUGAAUAUCAAGUUGUUGCCGGCACACUACAUUUUGAAGCGAUGGACAAGGAAAGCACGGUCAGGAUCCAUCAAAGAUUGUUGUGGACGGACUGUAGUUGAAAAUCCAAAGUUGGAUGCCAUCACCCAAUACAAUUUUCUUAUACACAUGUGUUGUGAGUUGGCAACUCUAGCAGCCAACUCUGAAGAAUGUUGUAUUGUCAUCGAGAAUGCACUUAUUAGUGCUACUAAGCAAGUGAAGGAACUAUUGGGUGCAUGCACACCUAAUGUUGAAGACAGAUGCCAUGUCCAGGUGGCUCAAUCAUCAAAGGAAUCGUUGAGUGCUACACAAGUGACUCAAACAUCAAAUGAAUUGUUGAGUGUUGCACGUCUAAAGAAAAAAGAGGUUGAGAAGAAAGGCUCUAAAAGAAAAAUAGGUUUCCUUGAGAGGCAACACAAGAGGAGGAGGAAAACACCAUCUGCGACCACAGCGAGAACAGGAAGAGAAGAUUGUUCCAUCAGCCAGCAGGGAGAAAAGGGGAACAUACCAUCACAGACUAGUUCGGUAAACAAGGUUGUCUCAAAUUCAACAAAAAAGACGAAACCAAUACCAAAACCGAAGGAAGCAAGCUCUGGAAAAUAUGAGUUCAUGGAAAGUUUCACCGAUCUGUUGACAACUCCUAUCGUUGAUGACAUAGAUGUUGACACAUUCUGA